rnacentral:lncRNA from 1 species
CUUGUUUCCCAUGUAGUUCCUGGUAAUUUUUUUGGCAUGGGUUAAUUGAUUUUGCAUUUGCUUGCUGCUUUUAUUAUGUCUGCCCAACAUGGAACCCUUCUCAGCACAGAAGCUCAUUUUGUAUCUAUUAUUCCCUGCUUUUUAUGUUGCUUCCCUCAGCCAGAAAGAAUUCUUCUUAAAUUGUUUGCAUGUUGGUGGCAACAGAGAUGGAAGACCAAAAAAAAUAAAGAAAAGAUCCACAGUAAAUGUUGAAAAUGGGAUCCAUCCAGUGUGUGGCAUGGAAAAUAAGGCUGCAAGCACCACUAGGGAGAUCUCCAGUUGGGUGACUGCAGCAUUUCAAGUCAGAAGAGUUUACAGAGCACCUCAAGAGGAAGCACAUCUAUGGCUCCAUCUGCAUUUGGAGGAGCCCUAA